rnacentral:rRNA from 1 species
AGGAUAGAGGCCUACCAUGGUGGUAACGGGUAGCGGGGUGUUAGGGCACGACACCGGAGAGGGAGCCUGAGAAACGGCUACCACAUCCAAGGAUGGCAGCAGGCGCGCAAAUUACCCAAUCCCGACACGGGGAGGUAGUGACAAUAAAUAACAAUACGGGGUUCUUUCGGAUCUCGUAAUUGGAAUGAGUACAAUUUAAAUCUCUUAACGAGGAACAAUUGGAGGGCAUGUCUGGUGCCAGCAGCCGCGGUAAUUCCAGCUCCAAUAGCGUAUAUUAAAGUUGUUGCAGUUAAAAAGCUCGUAGUUGAAUUUCGGGGUUAGUAGGUUGGUCAUGCCUCUGGUAUGUACUGAUCUCACUGAUUCCUCCUUCCUGAUGAACCGUAAUGCCAUUAAUUUGGUGUUGCGGGGAAUUUGGACUGUUACUUUGAAAAAAUUAGAGUGUUUAAAGCAAGCUAACGCUUGAAUACAUUAGCAUGGAAUAAUGAAAUAGGACGUUCGAUCCUAUUUUGUUGGUUUCUAGGAUUGGCGUAAUGAUUAAUAGGGAUAGUUGGGGGCAUUAGUAUUCAAUUGUCAGAGGUGAAAUUCUUGGAUUUAUUGAAGACUAACUACUGCGAAAGCAUUUGCCAAGGAUGUUUUCAUUAAUCAAGAACGAAAGUUAGGGGAUCGAAGACGAUCAGAUACCGUCGUAGUCUUAACCAUAAACUAUGCCGACUAGGGAUCGGAUG